UGCAAGUCGAACGGAAGUCGUUGUAAUGAAAUGGAAAUGGACAGAGAACUUGUUCGAAGAAAGUUGAAGUAGACUUACAACAAUGGCUUUAGUGGCGGACUGGUGAGUAACGCGUAAGGAACCUGCCUUUUAGAGGGGAAUAACAAUGAGAAAUCAUUGCUAAUACCGCAUAUGCCGAGAGAAUCACAUGGUACAAUCGGGAAAGGAGCAAUCCGCUAAAAGAUGGCCUUGCGUCUGAUUAGAUAGUUGGUGGGGUAACGGCCUACCAAGUCGACGAUCAGUAGCCGGACUGAGAGGUUGAACGGCCACAUUGGGACUGAGAUACGGCCCAGACUCCUACGGGAGGCAGCAGUCGGGAAUAUUGCGCAAUGGAGGAAACUCUGACGCAGUGACGCCGCGUAUAGGAAGAAGGUUUUCGGAUUGUAAACUAUUGUCGUUAGGGAAGAGAAAGGACAGUACCUAAGGAGGAAGCUCCGGCUAACUACGUGCCAGCAGCCGCGGUAAUACGUAGGGAGCGAGCGUUAUCCGGAAUUAUUGGGUGUAAAGGGUGCGUAGACGGGAAGAUAAGUUAGUUGUGAAAUCCCUCGGCUUAACUGAGGAACUGCAACUAAAACUGUUUUUCUUGAGUGCAGGAGAGGUAAGUGGAAUUCCUAGUGUAGCGGUGAAAUGCGUAGAUAUUAGGAGGAACACCAGUGGCGAAGGCGACUUACUGGACUGUAACUGACGUUGAGGCACGAAAGUGUGGGGAGCAAACAGGAUUAGAUACCCUGG
rnacentral:rRNA from 1 species